rnacentral:rRNA from 1 species
CUGCAGCUCAAGUGGUGAUCAUUAUUAUUGGGCCUAAAACGUCCGUAGCCUGUUUGGUAAAUGCUUGGGUAAAUCGUGUGGCUUAACCAUACGAAUACCGGGUAGACUGCCAGACUUGAGACCGGGAGAGGUUGGAGGUACUCCUGGGGUAGAGGUGAAAUUCUGUAAUCCUGGGGGGACCACCAGUGGCGAAGGCGUCCAACCAGAACGGGUCUGACGGUGAGGGACGAAGCCCUGGGGCGCAAACCGGAUUAGAUACCCGAGUAGUCC